rnacentral:rRNA from 1 species
UACGGAGGGUGCGAGCGUUGUCCGGAAUCAUUGGGCGUAAAGGGCGCGUAGGUGGCCACUUCAAGCGUGCGGUGAAAGUCGGGGGCUCAACCCCUGAUCGGCCGUGCGAACUGGGGGGCUGGAGCACUGUAGAGGCAGGCGGAAUUCCGGGUGUAGCGGUGGAAUGCGUAGAUAUCAGGAGGAACACCUGUGGCGAAAGCGGCUCACUGGACCAUAACUGACGCUGAGGCGCGAAAGCUAGGGGAGCAAACAGG